CCUACGGGAGGCAGCAGUAGGGAAUCUUCCACAAUGGGCGAAAGACUGAAGGAGCAAAGCCGCGUGGGUGAGGAAGGUCCACGGAUCGUAAAACCCUGUUGUUCGAGAAGAAAGGGCGGGAGAGUAACUGUUGACUAGUCGACGGUAUCUAACCAGAUAGGCACAGCUCACUACGUGAGAGCAGGUGCGGUAAGGCGGAGGGGGCAAGCGUUGUCCGGAUUUAUUGGGCGUAAGGGGAGCUCAGGCGGUCUGUUAAGUCUGAUGUGAAAGCCUUCGGCUUAACCGGAGUAGUGCCUUGGAAACUGGGAGACUUGAGUGCAGAAGAGGAGAGUGGAACUCCAUGUGUAGCGGUGAAAUGCGUAGAUAUAUGGAAGAACACCAGUGGCGAAGGC
rnacentral:rRNA from 1 species